rnacentral:rRNA from 1 species
UACGUAGGGGGCAAGCGUUGUCCGGAUUUAUUGGGCGUAAAGAGCGUGUAGGCGGCCGCACAGGUCCGUUGUGAAACUGGAGGCUUAACCUUCAGACGUCGAUGGAAACCGUGCGGCUAGAGUCCGGAAGAGGAGAAUGGAAUUCCUGGUGUAGCGGUGAAAUGCGCAGAUAUCAGGAAGAACACCCGUGGCUAAGGCGGUUCUCUAGUACGGUACUGACGCUGAGACGCGAAAGCGUGGGUAGCGAACAGGAUUA